rnacentral:rRNA from 1 species
UACGGGGGGGGCAAGCGUUGUUCGGAAUUACUGGGCGUAAAGGGCGCGUAGGCGGCCUUCUAAGUCGGACGUGAAAUCCCUCGGCUUAACCGAGGAACUGCGUCCGAUACUGAAAGGCUUGAAUCCGGGAGAGGGAUGUGGAAUUCCAGGUGUAGCGGUGAAAUGCGUAGAUAUCUGGAGGAACACCGGUGGCGAAGGCGGCAUCCUGGACCGGUCCUGACACUCAUGAGCGAAAGCGUGGGGAGCGAUCCGG